UCCGUAGGCGGUGUAGCAAGUCGAUAGUGAAAUCUCUGGGCUUAACCCAGAGGCUGCUAACGAAACUGCUGUGCUAGAGUGUGAGAGAGGCGAGUGGAAUUACGGGUGUAGCGGUGAAAUGCGUAGAUAUCCGUAGGAACAUCCGAGGCGAAGGCGGCUCGCUGGAUCACAACUGACGCUGAGGGACGAAAGCUAGGGAGCAAACA
rnacentral:rRNA from 1 species